rnacentral:rRNA from 1 species
UACGGGGGGAGCAAGCGUUGUUCGGAUUUACUGGGCGUAAAGGGCGCGUAGGCGGCCACCGCAAGUCGGUUGUGAAAUCUCCGGGCUUAACCCGGAAAGGUCAACUGAUACUGCGGGGCUAGAGUGCGGAAGGGGCAACUGGAAUUCUUGGUGUAGCGGUGAAAUGCGUAGAUAUCAAGAGGAACACCUGCGGCGAAGGCGGGUUGCUGGGCCGACACUGACGCUGAGGCGCGAAAGCUAGGGGAGCGAACGGG